AUUGAACGCUGGCGGCAUGCUUUACACAUGCAAGUCGAACGGUAACACGCGUUCGGGUGUUGACGAGUGUCGGACGGGGGCGUAAUGCAAAGGAACGGGUCCAGAGUUUGGGGGUAACGCAGCGAAAGCGGUGCUAAUACCGCAUGUGAGAUGAGGAUGUGAGCGGGGGAGCACGCAGGAAUGUUUGGCCUUGCGCCUCUGGAACGGCCGAUGUCAGAUUAGCUAGUUGGUGGGGUAACGGCUUACCAAGCCGACGAUAUGUAGCUGGUCUGAGAGGACGACCAGCCACACUGGGACUGAGACACGGCCCAGACUCCUACGGGAGGCAGCAGUGGGGAAUUUUGGACAAUGGGCGAAAGCCUGAUCCAGCAAUGCCGCGUGCGGGAAGAAGGCCUUCGGGUUGUAAAACGCUUUUGUUCGGAAAGAAAAGGCUUUGGCUAAUACCUGGGGCUGAUGACGGUACCGUAAGAAUAAGCACCGGCUAACUACGUG
rnacentral:rRNA from 1 species